CCUACGGGAGGCAGCAGUCGAGAAUCAUUCACAAUGGGGGAAACCCUGAUGGUGCGACGCCGCGUGGGGGAAUGAAGGUCUUCGGAUUGUAAACCCCUGUCAUGUGGGAGCAAAUUAAAAAGAUAGUACCACAAGAGGAAGAGACGGCUAACUCUGUGCCAGCAGCCGCGGUAAUACAGAGGUCUCAAGCGUUGUUCGGAAUCACUGGGCGUAAAGCGUGCGUAGGCUGUUUCGUAAGUCGUGUGUGAAAGGCGCGGGCUCAACCCGCGGACGGCACAUGAUACUGCGAGACUAGAGUAGUGGAGGGGGAACCGGAAUUCUCGGUGUAGCAGUGAAAUGCGUAGAUAUCGAGAGGAACACUCGUGGCGAAGGCGGGUUCCUGGACAUUAACUGACGCUGAGGCACGAAGGCCAGGGGAGCGAAAGGGAUUAGAUACCCGGGUAGUC
rnacentral:rRNA from 1 species